rnacentral:rRNA from 1 species
CCUACGGGAGGCAGCAGUGAGGAAUAUUGGUCAAUGGACGAGAGUCUGAACCAGCCAAGUAGCGUGAAGGAUGACUGCCCUAUGGGUUGUAAACUUCUUUUAUAUGGGAAUAAAAUGUUCCACGUGUGGGAUUUUGUAUGUACCAUAUGAAUAAGGAUCGGCUAACUCCGUGCCAGCAGCCGCGGUAAUACGGAGGAUCCGAGCGUUAUCCGGAUUUAUUGGGUUUAAAGGGAGCGUACGUGGAUUGUUAAGUCAGGUGUGAAAGUUUGCGGCUCAACCGUAAAAUUGCAGUUGAAACUGGCAGUCUUGAGUACAGUAGAGGUGGGCGGAAUUCGUGGUGUAGCGGUGAAAUGCUUAGAUAUCACGAAGAACUCCGAUUGCGAAGGCAGUUCACUGGACUGCAACUGACACUGAGGCUCGAAAGUGUGGGUAUCAAACAGGAUUAGAUACCCGUGUAGUC